ensembl:lncRNA
UUUUUUUUUGCUGUUGAAUUGUCUGACUUCCUUAUGUAUUCAGAUAUUUACCCUUCCUAUCAUGUAGUGUUUGCAAAUAUUUUCUCUCAUUUCCUGGGUUGCCUUUUCACUCAGGUGAUUGUUUCUUUUGCUGUGCAGAUGCAUUAGUGUUCAAAGCAUCUCCACUUCUCUCUUUUCCCCCUUGUUGCCUGUGCCUUUGGUGCCAUAGCCAAGAAAUCAUUACCCACAGCAACACCAAAGCUUUAUCUUCAUCUGUUCCUCUCAUCAUUUUAUGGUUUCAGGUCUAUGUUUAGGUCUUCUAAUCAUUUUGACUUGAUUUCUCUACAUGAUAUAAGAUAAAGGUCCAAAUAUAUACAUAUAUCAACUCAUAAGGUAGUAUACAUUACACAUAUAUAAUUUUUGUCACUCACACCUAAAUAGAGAUGGAAAUAAUACACAUUUUAGCCUUAGAUGACUGUUUAUAUCACUGAGCUUGUUUUACCUGUAGCCUGGUGAGGUCAUUGUCCUCCCUACCCUGGCCCCUACAGGAGACUCCUCACCCGAUAACCUCAAAAACCCCUUCACGAGGGUGAUAAUGACUUCAAAGCCUGCAAUGAAAAACCACUGGGUCCAGGUCUAGACUUCCAGAGAAGAGUAGAGCCCAUCUUCACAAAGUAAGAGGCAUUUGUUCCCUGAAUUCAUUGAAUGAAAGCACUCUUUCUUUUCAUAGUGUAAGAGAAAAUAUUUAGGCAGCUGAAAGCAGGAAAACAUGGCAGGGUCCUCAACACCAUCAUCAACAUCAACCUAGCACAGACACUCAACAUAGAGAUGCAUGCUAGAAUGAAAGCUGGGAGAGCAGAGAAGGAAAGGAGGGACAUUGAGGCCAAUGGAUACCCACACCCUCCCCAAAGAAAUGUCCACCUCCUCUCACUGAGAAGGUUCGAGAAGGUUUCUUGUCUCUGAGCAUUCUCCCAGCUAUAACUCUAGGCAGGCUCCUCCCUCCCCACACAUCUGCUCCUGCUCUCCCUCCUCCAGGUGACCCCAGCCAUGAGGACCCUUGCUCUCCUUGCUGCCAUUCUCCUGGUGGCCCUGCAGGCUCAGGCGGAGUCACUCCAGGCAAGAGCUGCAACCCAGGAGCAGCCUAGAGCCGAUGAUCAGGAAGUGGUUGACUCCUUUGCAUGGGACGAAAGCGCCACUCUUCAGGUUUCAGGUGAGAGAGGCCAGUAUGCAGAGCUGCAGAGUCUAGAGGGACAGAUGGGAGAUAGAGUCUGGAAUGGAGUCUCAAUGGCCCAUGUCACUUAGGUGACUUCACUUAGCAUCUCUGAGCCUUGAUUUUCUCAUCUGUAAACUGAGUAGAGAGUCAAAUAAAUCUAAGAGAUUUUCUUCUCCCAAAACUUCAUUCCAAGAUAUGUCUGUGAAAUUCACUAUGUUUAAAAUACAGAGAGACAUACUAACUAGUUCGUUCUGGAUCUAAACAAGUAGACUUAACUAUUGGGAGAAUAUUUUACUCUGUCUAUAGAGAAUCUUUUAAAGACUGAGGAUGGGCCUAACAGUGUGUUCAGGUGUGUGUGGGUGAUGGGGCCGGAGCACAAAAAUCAAAGCAAAUGAGAGUGAGUCUCAAAUCCUGUGAGACCAGCACUGCUCUGUGUAUUUAUUCCUAUUGACGGAGGUUGUUCAUGCUACCGGCCC